CAUGCAAGUCGAACGCCCCGCAAGGGGAGUGGCAGACGGGUGAGUAACGCGUGGGAAUCUACCCAGUUCUACGGAACAACUGAGGGAAACUUCAGCUAAUACCGUAUACGCCCCAAGGGGGAAAGAUUUAUCGGAAUUGGAUGAGCCCGCGUUGGAUUAGCUAGUUGGUGGGGUAAUGGCCUACCAAGGCGACGAUCCAUAGCUGGUCUGAGAGGAUGAUCAGCCACACUGGGACUGAGACACGGCCCAGACUCCUACGGGAGGCAGCAGUGGGGAAUAUUGGACAAUGGGCGAAAGCCUGAUCCAGCCAUGCCGCGUGAGUGAUGAAGGCCUUAGGGUUGUAAAGCUCUUUCAGUGGGGACGAUAAUGACGGUACCCACAGAAGAAGCCCCGGCUAACUUCGUGCCAGCAGCCGCGGUAAUACGAAGGGGGCUAGCGUUGUUCGGAUUUACUGGGCGUAAAGCGCACGUAGGCGGAUCGUUAAGUGAGGGGUGAAAUCCCAGGGCUCGACCCUGGAACUGCCUUUCAUACUGGCGAUCUUGAGUCCGGAAGAGGUGAGUGGAACUCCUAGUGUAGAGGUGGAAUUCGUAGAUAUUAGAAGAACACCAGUGGCGAAAGCGGCUCACUGGUCCGGUACUGACGCUGA
rnacentral:rRNA from 1 species